AAAAAACCAAUCCAAAUAAAAACAACAUACGACUCAUUCACUACACCACACCUGUAAAGCCGCACGUGUCUUUGACUUUCCUUUGACUCCCUGCAGAAGCUUCGAAAAAUCAUCUGCUUGCUUUACAAGCCCUAAUCUUCCAUCGAAUCUCCAAAAAUUGAACUUUGAACCCCUUUUUUCUCGAUUACAUUACUACUUCAUUAACUCAGAAUUUGAUUACUCAGGAUAUAGGGAGCACAUACUGUGGAUUUUUCUGUUGUGAUCGGCUUUGUUAAUGGAUUGAGCAAAGGUGCUCUUUAUUCUAUUGAUUUCAUGGUACUUUUCUUGAUUAUUUAACUUCUUCUGUUCAGUGUUCAAAGUGAAUACGGGAUUGAGAAUGCCCACAAAUCGGCAUUGCCCCCGAAUUGACACUUAUCAGCUGAAGCUUCAAAUUGAAAGGAAGAUUGGUCAACAAAGGGCGGAGAAAUAUUUUACUGCGUUAAGCAAAUACUUGAGUCUAAAGCUUAGCAAGUCAGAGUUUGAGAAGUUCUGCAUUGGUUUGUUGGGGAGAGAUAAUAUCUGCCUUCAUAAUGCACUUAUGCGAGCAAUCAUAAAAAAUGCUUGUGCAGCUAAGACACCUCCACUGAAGAAUGGCACAAUGCAGCCUUCAAUUAAUGGCAAAGUUCCAAAUGGAUGUCAAAGAGGCACUCUCCAGUCACUAUGCAGGGAUGUGUUUCCUCGGUCUCCUAGAAAGGGGAGAACUCCUACUCUUCGUGAUCGCAGAUUCAAGGACCGAUCAUGUCCUCUGCGGCCUCAUUGGAAAACCCAUUCUGUUGCUUGUGAAGAUAAUGCACCAAAAGCACAAGAGCAUCAAAGUGCUACUGAGUGGCUAUCAUUGGGUAGCACUCAUAGUAGAAGCCAUGUAACUGCUCCCCUUGGCAUCUCCCUGAGUGCUAGGGGAACAAGGAAAGUAGUAUGUCACAGAUCAGCCCCUUUACACGGUAUUGAAACUUGUAAUAGCACUCGUGAGUUGCCAGACUCCAGCUCUCUAAAGAAAUGGUUGGAACAGAAGUCGGAGACAGAAGGCGUACAGAUAUCAACAGAUGCCAUAAAAGUGUUGAAUAGUGGGCUUGAUGUUUUUUUAAAGAGAUUAAUAAAACCUUGUUUGGACUUAGCCGGCUCAAAGUCACAACACAAGCGCAUCCAUGACCAAGCUUUAUCAGUUUCAAAUAAAACGAGGCCCAUAAAAUACAUUCAGAAACCGAGUGAUCUCUUUUCUGUUUCAAUGCUGGAUUUUCGCUCUGCAAUGGAGUUGAAUCCCAGGAUACUGGGGGAAGAUAGCAGAAUACAGCUUGAGAAAGUUUCCUUGCAUGCAUACGAAGAAUCAUUGAUCAAUUAGUGCAUUGAUAUUGGUAUGGUUGCAACUCCAAGUCCAUCUGAAAGUGAUGACUUGAGUUGUGAUUUUAAAAGUCGGUCAAACAGUGAUGCUGAUGCAGUUUAUACAAGCAGUAGCAAAGCUUCGACGUCAUUUAGAGCUACGUAAAAUUUUGGAUCAAGGAGUGGCCUCGGUGGAAGACAAGAUGCGGGAAAUGCGACUGAGAUGGUUUGGGCAUGUGAAGAGGAGAGACACAGAUGACCCAGUGAGAAGGUGUGAGAGGUUGGCCAUGGAUGGCUACAGAAGAGGUAGGGGUAGGCCGAAGAAGUAUUGGGGAGAGGUGAUUAGACAGGACAUGGCUCAGUUACAGCUUACCGAGGACAUGACCUUAGAUAGGAGGCUGUGGAGGACCCACAUUAGGGUAGAAGGCUAGUACAUAGUCUCGUUAUUCUUCCUUAUUCAUAGGCGCACUAGCACAUUACAAUUCCUUGUACUCUCAUUUCUGCUAUUUCUGUUACUAUUUAUUGCUUUCAGUACUUUUGAUUACUCUAUUUUAUCUGUGAUGCCUUCGUUAUUUAUUUUUCUAUAGCGCUUUGAAUUUUUUUAACUUUAUCUGACCCCCUUUUAUGCUUUUUUUUUGAGCCGAGGGUCUCUCGGAAACAGCCGUCCUACCUUGGUAGGAGUAAGGUCUGCGUACAAUCUACCCUCCCCAGACCCCACGUUGUGGGAUUUCACUGGGUUGUUG